rnacentral:tRNA from 1 species
AAAUAUUAAAAUAGAUUUUCUAUAUCUGAUUACGGCUCAGCUAGGGUUAA